rnacentral:rRNA from 1 species
GUCUAUGGCCGUAACACUGUGAACCUGCCUGAUCUCAUCAGAAGUCAGAAACUAAACAGGAUUGGGCCUGCUUAGUAGUUGGAUGGGAGAACUUAUUGUCUCAGUUUAUCAAUUCCAGCUUCCCUAGAGU